AUUAACCUUACUCAUUGGCCAUAUAAAGGAGGGAGUAGUUGCGCCUAAUGAAACUCUCUCAGUUUUCGAAUUAGACCAAAAGUGAAAAAACAAGUUUAAAAAAAAGAAGAUUGGACCUUUUUUUCUUCUCCAAGUUAACACUUCCUGCAACUUUUUCCAACCUCAUAACCGAUAUCACAAACCCUGCAACAAAAACUUGGUAACACCUUACUAACCCCCCUCUCUUUAAGUCCACACCUUACCUCCAAUUUCUUCUCACAUAACCA
rnacentral:lncRNA from 1 species